GAUGAACGCUGGCGGCGUGCCUAAUACAUGCAAGUCGAGCGAACAGACGAGGAGUUUGUUCCUCUGACGUUAGCGGCGGACGGGUGAGUAACAUGUGGAUAAUCUACCUAUAAGUCUGAUAUAACUUCGGGAAACCGGCGCUAAUACCGGAUAAUAUAUUGAUCCGCAUGGUUCAAUAGUGAUAGACGGCUUUGCUGUCACUUAUAGAUGGAUCCGCGCCGCAUUAGCUAGUUGGUAAGGUAACGGCUUACCAAGGCAACGAUGCGUAGCCGACCUGAGAGAAUGAGAGGCCACACUGGAGCUGGGACACGGACAAGACUACUACGGGAGGCAGCAGUAGGGAAUCUUCCGCAAUGGGCGGAAGCCUGACGGAGCAGCGCCGCGUGAGUGAUGAAGGUCUUCGGAUCGUAAAACUCUGUUAUUAGGGAAGAACAAAUGUGUAAGUAACUAUGCACGUCUUGACGGUACCUAAUCAGAAAGCCACGGCUAACUACGUG
rnacentral:rRNA from 1 species